rnacentral:rRNA from 1 species
AUGAAGACCCGUAUGAAUGGCACGACGAGGGCUUAACUGUCUCCUUUUUCCAGUCAAUGAAAUUGAUCUCCCCGUGCAGAAGCGGGGAUAAAACCAUAAGACGAGAAGACCCUGUGGAGCUUUAGACACCAAACCAGACCAUGUCAAAUACCCCCACUUAAAGAACUGAACUUAUUGGCACCCCGUCUUGAUGUC